ACAAACUUGGUCAUUUAGAGGAAGUAAAAGUCGUAACAAGGUUUCCGUAGGGCAUGUCAUCCCCACAUCUAUCUUACGAAGAGAACAUCUGCUAACAUUGUAUCUAGUGAACCUGCGGAAGGAUCAUUAAAAGAAUUGUGUGGACUUAUGUUCGCCGAAUUCAUCUUCCCAACCCUUUGUAUAUUCCACCUUUGGAUUUUAUCCUUCUUCCUUUAUGGAAGUGCUUCACAGCAUUUAUACCCAUACAAAAACUUUCAACAACGGAUCUCUUGGUUCCGGCAUCGAUGAAGAACGCAGC
rnacentral:misc_RNA from 1 species